AACCGCGGUUAGACGAGAGGCCCCAGUUGAUUACACCACGGCGUAAAGGGUGGUUAAGGAGAAUAAGUAAAUAAAGCUAAAUGGUCCUUUAGCCGUCAUACGCUCUUAGCGACCCGAAAUCCAAACACGAAAGUGGCUUUAAUAAGACUACCUGAUUCCACGAAAACUGAGAAA
rnacentral:rRNA from 1 species